AUAUUAUUUAACUCGCCCUUAAAAAGUCUUGCUACUUUGUUAUAUAAAAAAUGGGGUGUGGGGGGGGGGGGGUGGAUUGGACAAAAUUUACACUUAAGUCAAGAAAUUGUUAAAAUUAAUAAUAAGCUUAAAGAUGAAAAACAUACUGAAAUUCUGGCACAGUCCAUAUGGAUGAACCCGAACAUCAAAAUGGAUGGCAAUAUAAUUUUAAUGUUCAAAUAUAUUGAAAAUAGUAUAUUCAUCAUUAAUGAUCUGAUGUCAGAUGAUACUUCAUUAUUUCAUAUGAUGAAUUUAAAAAAAAGUGUGAUAUACUCAUUUUGUAAAGUUUUAUGGUAUUUUAAGUGCAAUUCCAAAGAGAUAGAAAAGUAUAGUAGACCGAAGUUCAAAACAGGGAAUUAUUGAAAAUAAAAUAGAUAAAGUAAAAAACGCAUUAAAUAUAAUAGGAGAAUAACGACACAACAUUAAAAUGUAGCACACACAGAAACGGACUAAGCAUUAGACAAAAUCCGAUGAUAAAAUGAUAUCUGUAUCCUCCCGUACAAAAUGGAAAAAGAUUUAAAAAUAUGCAGAUUAAAGAUUCGAAUAUUUAUUCCAUGCCCUUCAUUAUACAUGUAACCAGAAAUUCGGUUUUUUUUACAAAACUUUCAAUUUAAGAUUGUUCAUAGGAUUCUGCCAUGUAAUUCAUUUUU
rnacentral:lncRNA from 1 species